GACGAACGCUGGCUGCGUGCCUAAUACAUGCAAGUAGAACGCUGAAGAGAGGAGCUUGCUCUUCUUGGAUGAGUUGCGAACGGGUGAGUAACGCGUAGGUAACCUGCCUUGUAGCGGGGGAUAACUAUUGGAAACGAUAGCUAAUACCGCAUAACAAUGGAUGACACAUGUCAUUUAUUUGAAAGGGGCAAUUGCUCCACUACAAGAUGGACCUGCGUUGUAUUAGCUAGUAGGUGAGGUAACGGCUCACCUAGGCGACGAUACAUAGCCGACCUGAGAGGGUGAUCGGCCACACUGGGACUGAGACACGGCCCAGACUCCUACGGGAGGCAGCAGUAGGGAAUCUUCGGCAAUGGGGGCAACCCUGACCGAGCAACGCCGCGUGAGUGAAGAAGGUUUUCGGAUCGUAAAGCUCUGUUGUAAGUCAAGAACGAGUGUGAGAGUGGAAAGUUCACACUGUGACGGUAGCUUACCAGAAAGGGACGGCUAACUACGUGCCAGCAGCCGCGGUAAUACGUAGGUCCCGAGCGUUGUCCGGAUUUAUUGGGCGUAAAGCGAGCGCAGGCGGUUUGAUAAGUCUGAAGUUAAAGGCUGUGGCUCAACCAUAGUUCGCUUUGGAAACUGUCAAACUUGAGUGCAGAAGGGGAGAGUGGAAUUCCAUGUGUAGCGGUGAAAUGCGUAGAUAUAUGGAGGAACACCGGUGGCGAAAGCGGCUCUCUGGUCUGUAACUGACGCUGAGGCUCGAAAGCGUGGGGAGCGAACAGGAUUAGAUACCCUGGUAGUCCACGCCGUAAACGAUGAGUGCUAGGUGUUGGAUCCUUUCCGGGAUUCAGUGCCGCAGCUAACGCAUUAAGCACUCCGCCUGGGGAGUACGACCGCAAGGUUGAAACUCAAAGGAAUUGACGGGGGCCCGCACAAGCGGUGGAGCAUGUGGUUUAAUUCGAAGCGACGCGAAGAACCUUACCAGGUCUUGACAUCCCGAUGCUAUUUCUAGAGAUAGAAAGUUACUUCGGUACAUCGGUGACAGGUGGUGCAUGGUUGUCGUCAGCUCGUGUCGUGAGAUGUUGGGUUAAGUCCCGCAACGAGCGCAACCCCUAUUGUUAGUUGCCAUCAUUCAGUUGGGCACUCUAGCGAGACUGCCGGUAAUAAACCGGAGGAAGGUGGGGAUGACGUCAAAUCAUCAUGCCCCUUAUGACCUGGGCUACACACGUGCUACAAUGGUUGGUACAACGAGUUGCGAGUCGGUGACGGCAAGCUAAUCUCUUAAAGCCAAUCUCAGUUCGGAUUGUAGGCUGCAACUCGCCUACAUGAAGCUGGAAUCGCUAGUAAUCGUAGAUCAGCAUGCUACGGUGAAUACGUUCCCGGGUCU
rnacentral:rRNA from 1 species